ensembl:lncRNA
GAUCGCUUGCCUGUGACCUCCUUUUUGGUCACCUGACUUCCUGUUGGUGUUGCUGAGAUUAGUUGCGGGUUACUUUUCUGAAGCCUCCAUCGCAGCUGGUCGUAGCUGUAGAAGCCUCCUCUGAGCCAUUCUGCUUACGUUUUAUGACACGGCUUACUUGAUGCGGAGUGCUGACGUGGAGGAGACUAGGGUGCCUUGGUGGUGGGAUCCUCUGAGUGUACACACCUGCCUUGUUUAAUUUAUUAGUGAUAAAAGCAAAGCAGCAGCUACUUUGGUGUGGGAUUCCACAGCUGUGUUACAGAGAUGGAGGAAGAGUUACAGGAACUCAGGGACUUGAUCGCGCAGCUGAAAGCAGACAAUGAGAGGCUGCGUCAGGAGAGGGCUGUUGGGUCAGAUGCGGAGUGCUGACGUGGAGGAGACUAGGGUGCCUUGGUGGUGGGAUCCUCUGAGUGUACACACCUGCCUUGUUUAAUUUAUUAGUGUGAGUGUGCUGCACUUGUGUCUUGGUGUAUUUUCUUUUUUUUU